rnacentral:lncRNA from 1 species
UCAUAAAUAAAAACAAAAGAGGAAUUUUGAUGCCCUGAAGUGAUAAACUGGCCAGCCCCUACUUAAAAUUUUCGCUCUCACUUAUAUUUCCCUUGUAAUGUUAUCAUCAUUUUUUAUAUAUUCAACAAGCCAUUUACGUUAAUCAAUCAUAGUUGCAAAACAUCAAUAGAUUGAUCAUUGGUACAAUCAUUUAUCUGGUAAGGGGUUUCCCAUUUCUUUGCAAUAUUUGCGUGAUCCCAGGUACAUGAUGAGCUUACAGUUGUUAUGACUAGUUGAUCCUUUGUAUCUUUAUUUCUUAAAGCCAACUGAUUAGUGACUAGUAAAUGACUCAUUUUGCAGAAUUUAUGGACUUAAUCAUCAUGUUACUCGAUACUUAU